GUGCUUGCUUCAGCAGCACAUACACUAAAAUUGGAACCAUACAGAGAAGAUUAGCAUGGCCCCUGCACAAGGAUGGCAUGCAAACUCGUGAAGCAUUACAGAUUUUG